GGGUCAGUAGGUUGGUCGUGCCACCGGUACGUACUGGUCUCACUGAUUCCUCCUUCCUGAAGAACCGUAAUGCCAUUAAUUUGGUGUUGCGGGGAAACAGGACUGUUACUUUGAAAAAAUUAGAGUGGUUAAAGCAAGCUAACGCUAGAAUACAUUAGCAUGGAAUAAUGAAAUAGGACGAUCGAUCCUAUAUUGUUGGUUUCUAGGAUUGACGUA
rnacentral:rRNA from 1 species